rnacentral:ribozyme from 13 species
AGAGAAGAAGAGAGAGAAGAAAAGAGAGAGGGAGACUCGGGAAGAAAAGGUUCUUUUUGUUGUUGAGCGAAUUUUUUGACUAAAUCUCUUUGUUUUAAACGUUUUUCUUUUCUUAAGAGGGCGUCUCUCAGUUCAGUUUGUUCAGCAAGAGAAGAAGGAAUAACACGAGGAAUUGGCACUUUUACUCCUCCUUUUUCUACAUCAUUUAUUGCUACAAAUGUU